rnacentral:rRNA from 1 species
AACGAACGCUGGCGGCAUGCCUAACACAUGCAAGUCGAACGAAGCCUUCGGGCUUAGUGGCGCACGGGUGCGUAACGCGUGGGAACCUACCAUCAGGUUCGGAAUAACAGUUAGAAAUGACUGCUAAUACCGGAUAAUGUCUUCGGACCAAAGAUUUAUCGCCUUUUGAUGGGCCCGCGUUGGAUUAGCUAGUUGGUGGGGUAAAGGCCUACCAAGGCGACGAUCCAUAGCUGGUCUGAGAGGAUGAUCAGCCACACUGGGACUGAGACACGGCCCAGACUCCUACGGGAGGCAGCAGUGGGGAAUAUUGGACAAUGGGCGAAAGCCUGAUCCAGCAAUGCCGCGUGAGUGAUGAAGGCCUUAGGGUUGUAAAGCUCUUUUACCAGGGAUGAUAAUGACAGUACCUGGAGAAUAAGCUCCGGCUAACUCCGUGCCAGCAGCCGCGGUAAAGUCUGUACU